UAUGGCCUUAUCAUGUUGAAACAUUGGUUCCCAUAUGAUCAACAAAGUGAAGCAACAACAAGCCUGGUCAGUAUCUAGAUGAGUGACCACUUGGGAAUACCAGGUACUGUAAG